rnacentral:lncRNA from 1 species
CAGCCGCCGGAGAUCUAAGAAACAGCUCGGAAAGUACUCAUCAACAAUACAUGACGUGUCAACAAACUACUGGCUCUCCUAUCGGCAAUGCAUACUCAACAGCAUAUAACCAUCAUCAUCAACCUUACUACGGUCACGUAAACCCUAAUAAUCCCGUCUCGCCACAAAGCUCGCUAGAAGAAACUUUCAGCAACACGAGCAGUAACGUCACUACUACAGCUAACGUGCGAGAGACUCAGCAAACUGCAGGUGGCGUAUAUGGUCACGGUGGGUUAGGGUUUCACGAAGGAUAUCCUAACAAAAAAAGAUCAGUGAGUUAUUGUAAUAGUGAUUUAGGGGAGCUUCAGGCUUUGGCUCUUAGAAUGAUGAAGAAUUAAGAUAAGUUGCUAACUUAUGUAGACAGACGUACGGCGAAGAAAUGAGAUGUUUUUCCUUUGACAAAGAUUCGGUUAUACAAAGGUGGCUUACUUGCAAGCACAAGUCAUGCAAAUGAAGGCACAGAUCGCCGGCCACCAGACGUCAGCCGCCGGAGAUCUAAGAAACAGCUCGGAAAGUACUCAUCAACAAUACAUGACGUGUCAACAAACUACUGGCUCUCCUAUCGGCAAUGCAUACUCAACAGCAUAUAACCAUCAUCAUCAACCUUACUACGGUCACGUAAACCCUAAUAAUCCCGUCUCGCCACAAAGCUCGCUAGAAGAAACUUUCAGCAACACGAGCAGUAACGUCACUACUACAGCUAACGUGCGAGAGACUCAGCAAACUG